rnacentral:lncRNA from 1 species
AUGGGGUGGCGAGGCUGGGCGCAGAGAGGCUGGGGCUGCGGCUCAGCGUGGGCUCCCCUGGUGCGCAGCAGCAGCUGCGAGGAGCUCACUGCGGUUCUAGCCCCGCCGCAGCUGCUUAGACGCAGGUUUAACUUCUUUAUUCAGAAAAAAAUGUGGUUCAGAAAAGAACCCAGUAAGGUUGAACCUCGAAGAUCAGACACGGCAACAAGUGGUGAAGCAUACAAGAGAAGUGCUUUGAUUCCUCUGGUGGAAGAAACAGUCUUUUAUCUUUCUCCCUAUCCUAUAAGGACUCUCAUAAAACCUUUAUUUUUUUACUGUUGGGUUUACAGGCUGUGCAUUUGGAUCAGCUGCUAUUUGGCAAUACGAAUCACUGAAAUCCAGGGGUCCAGAGUUAUUUUGAUGGCAUAAAAGCUGAUUGGUUGGAUAGCAUAAGACCACAAAAAGAAGGAGACUUCAGAAAGGAGAUUAACAAGCGGUGGAAUAACCUAAGUGAUGGCCAGCGGACUCAGGUAUCAUAGCUGCAAACGUCCUUGUAUUCUGUUUGUGGAGAGUACCUUCUCUGCAGUGGACAGUGAUCUGAUAUUUCAAAUCUAAUCCAGCCUCAAAAGUCCGUUGUUCUCCAAUGUUGCUGUCAACAUUCAAUCAUUUCUCCUUAUUUCACAUGGCAGCAAAUAUGUAUGUUUUGUGGAGCUUCUCCUUCAGUAUAGUGAACAUUCUGGGUCAAGAGCAGUUCAUGGCAGUGUACCUAUCUGCAGGUGUUAUUUCCAAUUUUGUCAGUUAUGUGUGUAAAGUUGCCACACGAAGAUAUGGACCAUCACUUGGUGCAUCUCGCGCCAUCAUGAUGAUCCUCGCAGCUGUCCGCACUAAGAUCCCAGAAGGGAGGCUUGCCAUUAUUUACUUCCAAUGUUCACAUUCACAGCAGGAAAUGCCCUACAAUCCAUUAACGCCACGGAUAUGGCAGGAAUGAUCCUGGGACGGAAAUUUUUUGAUUAUGCAGCACAUCUUGGGGGAGCUCUCUUUGGAAUAUGGUAUGUUACUUACCCUCAUGAACUGAUUUGGAAGAACAGGGAGCCUCUAGUGAAAAUCUGGCAUGAAAUGAGGACUAAUGCCCCCCCAAACAAGAGGUGGCUCUAAGUAA